UGGGGAAUAUUGGACAAUGGGGGCAACCCUGAUCCAGCGAUGCCGCGUGUGUGAAGAAGGCCUGCGGGUUGUAAAGCACUUUAGUUGGGAGGAUUGCAUUGUGCCUGAAAGGGUAUAGUGUUGACGUUACCCAAAGAAUAAGCACCGGCAAACUCUGUGCCAGCAGCCGCGGUAAUACAGAGGGUGCAAGCGUUAAUCGGAAUUACUGGGCGUAAAGGGCGCGUAGGUUGUUAUACAAGUCAGAUGUGAAAGCCCUGGGCUUAACCUGGGAAUGGCAUUUGAAACUGUAAGACUAGAGUGAAGUAGAGGGUAGCGGAAUUUCCGGUGUAGCGGUGAAAUGCGUAGAUAUCAAGAGGAACACCUGAGGUGAAGACGGGUUGCUGGGCUGACACUGACGCUGAGGCGCGAAAGCCAGGGGAGCAAACGGGAUUAGAUACCCGCGUAGUCCCUGAGCGGGCUGGCA
rnacentral:rRNA from 1 species